GUUUGACACCCCUGAUCUAUGACAACUGAGUCCUUUGGAGACGCCGACCUCAGAGAGUCUGAAGAACCGGCAGCACAUCCUUCACUGUCAGAGCAGAGCCUCAAGUACUGCUGCAGCUCUGCUCCUUGCACAGUGUCACUGUGGUUUAAUAAAACUAUAUGCACAUAAAGGACAGUU